GUUUCUCCAUCCCCUCUCCCUUAAGGAUUUUAAAUCCACUUCUUAGCAGGCUAUGAUAAAAAGACUGGCUGAAUAGGCUAAAGGCAGGUUCUGUCCAUUUGCUGAUUCUCUAGCAGUUCAAUCCAUCAUAAAAGAGAUCUGAAGAG